GCUGCUUUUUGGGUAUUAUUAUCAUGGUGUUUAAAAGCAGCAGCCCCUGCCUGCCAACGCUGGGGACGUGCUGGGCAUGCCUCUCGCAAAAAGAGCUCCAGAAAGGGCCCAGCCAAUGGCAAGGCGAGGCCAGCCGCUCCAAACUGAUCUUCCCUGCCUAGCCCUUCCUAAACAAAGGGUCUCCUAUGUGGGCUUUGCUCUGAGCAGAGGACACAGGGCAGGCACAAGCUGCGACAUGGAUUCGCGGCGGCGGAUCCGGCCCCGGCCCCGCGCGGCGCGCGCUGGAGAGGCUGAGCUCGCUUCCCCAGCGCAGCGCAGCGCCGCGGCCGGGCCGAUAUCCCCGCAGCAAGCGGUCUGGCCCGGCUCGCGUGUGGGGACGAGGCGACAAGCCUGGGUCGGCGUGAGGGGAGCCGGGCGGCGGCUUGGCCCCGCUCUUGCCGCCGGGGCUCAGGCAGCGGGCUCCGCUGAGCGCACCCCUCCCCCCGGGCAAGGCAGUAGGUGGGCCUGGCGAGCUCAGAAACCCAACCCAAGAGGAGCAGCAUCAAGAAUUCACCCUUCUCCUGCACAACUCACACCACUCCCAUCUCCAAAAUAUUGACUUUCUGAGAUAAAAAUAUCUUACCCCUUCAAUAAGCCAAAACGCCUCUAAAAGGAGGAACAAGAACUAGGACUGAGUGGACUUCUGGCUCUGAAGUUUUACAUUGUUUUGAGUGCACUUAUGUAAAAA